rnacentral:rRNA from 1 species
AUCGAACGCUGGCGGAAUGCUUUACACAUGCAAGUCGAACGGCAGCACGGACUUCGGUCUGGUGGCGAGUGGCGAACGGGUGAGUAAUAUAUCGGAACGUGCCCAGUCGUGGGGGAUAACGUAGUGAAAAUUACGCUAAUACCGCAUACGAUCUAUGGAUGAAAGCGGGGGACCUUUGGGCCUCGCGCGAUUGGAGCGGCCGAUAUCAGAUUAGGUAGUUGGUGGGGUAAAGGCUCACCAAGCCAACGAUCUGUAGCUGGUCUGAGAGGACGACCAGCCACACUGGGACUGAGACAAGGCCCAGACUCCUACGGGAGGCAGCAGUGGGGAAUUUUGGACAAUGGACGCAAGUCUGAUCCAGCCAUUCCGCGUGCAGGACGAAGGCCUUCGGGUUGUAAACUGCUUUUGUACAGAACGAAAAGGUUUCUACUAAUACUAGGAGCUCAUGACGGUACUGUAAGAAUAAGCACCGGCUAACUACGUGCCAGCAGCCGCCGUAA